rnacentral:lncRNA from 1 species
UUUGCUGAAGGUGCUAAUAGUGCAGCUAGCUUACGAAUCAGUAGAGAAGAUGAACUGAAGCAGCAUUAUUCUCAAGUAUGGAGGGCAUUAUUUGUUUUACUGGGAAUUUACUUGUUUUUUGUAGUUGAACAAUUGAUGAAGGCAAAAGCAUUAUGCUUCGGCAAGUCUCAUGGUCAUAGUCAUGGUAAAAAAGAGCGUAAGUAUUCUACAGAAAAA